rnacentral:rRNA from 1 species
UACGUAGGGGGGCUAGCGUUGCUCGGAAUUACUGGGCGUAAAGCGCACGUAGGCGGAUUGUUAAGUCGGGGGGUGAAAUCCUGGAGCUCAACUCCAGAACUGCCUUCGAUACUGGCGAUCUCGAGUUCGGGAGAGGUGAGUGGAACUGCGAGUGUAGAGGUGAAAUUCGUAGAUAUUCACAAGAACACCAGUGGCGAAGGCGGCUCACUGGCCCGAUACUGACGCUGAGGUGCGAAAGCGUGGGGAGCAAACAGG